UGCUUAGGAAUUUGCCUUUGUGUGGGGGAUAACUAUUGGAAACGAUAGCUAAUACCGCAUAACACCUACGGGUCAAAGGGGGCUUCGGCUCCCGCGCGAAGAGAAGCCUAAGUGAGAUUAGCUUGUUGGUGAGGUAAUGGCUCACCAAGGCGACGAUCUCUAGCUGGUUUGAGAGGAUGAUCAGCCACACUGGGACUGAGACACGGCCCAGAUUCCUACGGGAGGCAGCAGUGGGGAAUAUUGCACAAUGGGGGAAACCCUGAUGCAGCCAUGCCGCGUGUGUGAAGAAGGCCUUCGGUU
rnacentral:rRNA from 1 species